rnacentral:rRNA from 1 species
UAUUGCACAAUGGGGGAAAGCCUGAUGCAGCAACGCCGCGUGAAGGAAGAAGGCCUUCGGGUNGUAAACUUCUGUCCUUGGGGAANNAGNNNUNACGGUACCCAAGGAGGAAGCACCGGCUAACUACGUGNNNGNAGCCGCGGUAAUACGUAGGGGGCAAGCGUUAUCCGGAAUUAUUGGGCGUAAAGAGUACGUAGGUGGCAACCUAAGCGCAGGGUUUAAGGCAAUGGCUCAACCAUUGUUCGCCCUGCGAACUGGGAUGCUUGAGUGCAGGAGAGGAAAGCGGAAUUCCUAGUGUAGCGGUGAAAUGCGUAGAUAUUAGGAGGAACACCAGUGGCGAAGGCGGCUUUCUGGACUGUAACUGACACUGAGGUACGAAAGCGUGGGGAGCAAACAGG